rnacentral:tRNA from 1 species
GGGGAUGUAGCCCAAUUGGAAGAGGUACGCGACUCAGAAUCGCGAUGUUGUGGGUUCGAAUCCCACCAUCCCCACCA